AUUGUCAGUUUCGUUUAUGUGACCGUUACAAUGGGCAUGUUAUAUCCUAAAAAUGCCCGCUGCAACGUUCACAACAACGGGCAUGACCAG
rnacentral:pre_miRNA from 1 species